rnacentral:pre_miRNA from 1 species
AAGCUACUCCCUCCGUUCGGAAUUACUUGUCACAAAAAUGGAUGUAUCUACAACUAAAAUACAUCUAGAUACAUUCAUUUCUUGGACGAGUAAUUCCGAACGGAGGGAGUACAUG